GCGGCGAUAGCCAAGCCAGGCCAAAGGCGGGGGACUCAAGAUCCCUUCCCGUAGGGGUUCGCCGGUUCAAAUCCGGCUCGCCAUC
rnacentral:tRNA from 1 species